GGUGUAUUGUAAUAAACAAAUAAAACUUAAUACUUUGCAUUGUGUUACUUUUAAGCUCAAAAUCUGUAUCGAAGGCGUCUAUUAGAAGGUACAAAGUCAGUCAUAAACAAAAGACAUAACUACGGGAAACAUAACGUUAACGUUUGCAUUAAAUUCUCAACAUGUGGUAUAUCUGUUAAAACCCCCACUGGGCCCAGUUCACAAUAUUUUCCUUUUCAAUUUCAUCCUAGACCUUAAAGUAGUAAAUUGAAUCUUCAUCGCUGAAACAAAAUAUACUUAUC
rnacentral:lncRNA from 1 species